AUGCUCGCUUUGGCAGCACAUAUACUAAAACUGGAAUGAUACAGAGAAGAUUACCAUGGCCCCUGCACAAGGAUAACAUGCAAAUUCGUGAAGCGUUCCAUAUUUUU
ensembl:snRNA U6 U6 spliceosomal RNA